UACAGAGGUCUCAAGCGUUGUUCGGAUUCAUUGGGCGUAAAGGGUGCGUAGGCGGCGCGGUAAGUCGGAUGUGAAAUCUCGGAGCUUAACUUCGAAACUGCAUUCGAUACUGCCGUGCUUGAGGACUGGAGAGGAGACUGGAAUUUACGGUGUAGCGGUGAAAUGCGUAGAUAUCGUAAGGAAGACCAGUGGCGAAGGCGGCUCUCGUGGGACGGUACUGACGCUGAGACGCGAAAGCGUGGGGAGCGAACAGG
rnacentral:rRNA from 1 species